rnacentral:hammerhead_ribozyme from 1 species
GUACUGCUGAGGAGUUCCACAAUAGGACGAAACGGUCGUCCAGUGC